GUCAUAUUCUUCGGCCAAUUUAGUUUGUCAUUGCCCUCGAACGUCAAAGUAUCAGAUUAAACUUCGAAGAUAUCUUAUAGGCUGAAUAAACAUGAGUUCUUUUGGCGGCACAAAGCGAUGUAGAGUUUGUGGAAAACCUGUGUACUAUGCUGAACGAGCAGAGGGAUUCGACGAUUUUCAUAAAAGGUGUCUAAGAUGCACCGUUUGCCGAAAACAAUUGGAUAGUACUACUCUCGCAAUGCAUGAUGAGAAACCGUACUGUCACUCAUGUCAUACUAAAAACUUUGGAAUACAUGGAUAUGGAUAUGGUCAAGGUGCUGGAGUGCUAUCUAUGGAUUUUGGAGUAAAGUCAUCUCAAUCAACAGCUCCUGCUGAAGCAAAACCUCAAACAGCAGUAUUUGAUGGUAAAGCUAAACCUGGUGGUCCCGAUGAUUGUCCUUGGUGUGGCAAGAGAGUGUACGCUGCAGAAAAGAAACUGGCUGCUGGAAGGUCUUUUCACGCUCGUUGCCUCAGAUGCUUUGAAUGUAAAAAAGGACUGGAUACUGGACACCUAAAAAGCCGAGAUUCUGCUAUUUUUUGCCAAGGUUGUUAUGGUAAAAAAUUUGGACCGAAAGGUUAUGGAUUUGGUGGUGGAGCUGGAGCACUCACUGUUACACAAUGAAACAUUAUGCUUUAAGUGACAACAUGCCUUUAUCAUAAAUUAUCAUUUGAAAUAAAUAUAGAAGAAAGUUACGGCGAAGCUCAUCGGGAUUUGAGAAAAAAUCAUUUUAUUUUACCAUUUUCGAAAUUUGCUUGAACAGAAUAUGGACUACAGCUAUACUAUACAUCUUAUUAAAGAUCAAAAGCUUGGCCAUUAUGGUGUUAUUUUGCAAAAAAUGAAGAUGGUAACUAUGCAAAGGCAAGCAAAAAGGUAAGCAUUAGGGUAGACGUAAAGAUAAACACAAAGUUAGGCACGAAGAUGGACAAUAGAAAAUCUGGAGACCAGGUAAAUUUAUUAAAUGUUUUGCAUAUCUUUGAAAAAUAUAAAGGGUUAAAUAGUACAGUUAUGAUGGUAAAUUUGUUCUGAUGAACUUAAUAAAACAUUGGAAGUGUAUUUUAGAGUUCGUUUGUUGGAAAUUGAAAAUGCAAAUUUAAAAAAAAAUUUAGAAGAAAAAGGAAAGUCUAUAAGGUGGAAAGAGUCGAAAGUCUCAAAUGACAUAUCUGUAUGUGACGUAAUUGAUGGGAGAAGGUCGUAUCGGAGUAUUGCAACACAAACAGGAACGUGCUUGAAAUGUUAUUUAGAAAAAACAUUGUACAAGCAAGACGGAGAUGAUAUUUUCAAAGUGAAAACAUGGGAUGAUGGGAAAGUGAUAAUUCAAACAAUAACAGUGGAUGAUAUGAAAAAUGAGAGCGAUGAUCACAUACAUCUACCUGAAUUAGUUGGCCCUUUAUGUAAAUUUUAAAACAAAUUUAAUCAAAGAGCUUUACUUCAGAAAAGAACUAUAAAAUAUCAUAGUAAUGAAUACUUUUUCAAACAUCGUAAAAAUAUUAAGAUGAACAAAUCGGCAACAGCAGAAGCUUAUUGUUUUCCCUGCCAUGAUUCAAAGUCGAAAAUUUCUGUGUGGAACUUUAUUUUUAAUAGAAUUAUUAAAAAUUGAAUACAAUAUGUCCACUUAUAGGUUCCGAAAAUCGCAGUAACCUAUUAAAAUUGUUUUCAUGGUAGCAAGCACAAAAUUAGUCAUCGUAGUACAGCGCAACAAAAAACCUCUUUUCUCAACUAAUCGAAAUUUAUUUUAUAUUUGGUACUUAAAAACAAUGUAAGAAAAUUUAAUGAAAUUAUCGUGCCAAGUUGA